UUAAGUUAAUAAGGGCGUACAGUGAAUGCCUUGGCAUUAGAAGACGAAGAAGGACGCGACUACCUGCGAUAAGCGUUGGGGAGCUGGACGUAAGCUUUGAUCCGACGAUCUCCGAAUGGGGCAACCCAAUAUGAGUAAUGUCAUAUUAUCCUAUGAUGAAUACAUAGUCAUAGUGAAGGAAUACCCGGGGAACCGAAACAUCCAAUUACCCGGAGGAAAAGAAAGAUAAAAUAUCGAUUCCGUCAGUAGCGGCGAGCGAAAGCGGAAAAGCCCAAACCAACCUAAGGGUUGGGGUUCGGGACACAAUAUAGUAUGUUACAUCUCAGUCGAGAGAUGUGGGAAAAUCUGCCAAAGAGGGUGAUAGCCCCGUAGGCGAAAAGGUGUAACAACUUAGUGUUUCCAAAGUACGGCGAGGCACGUGAAACCUUGUCGGAAUGUGCGCAGACCACUGCGUAAGGCUAAAUACUAACUAAUGACCGAUAGUGAACCAGUACCGUGAGGGAAAGGUGAAAAGAACCCCGAGAGGGGAGUGAAAAGACUCUGAAACUGUAUGCUUACAAAAAGUCAGAGGCCGUUAAAGGCUGAUGGCGUGCCUAUUGAAGAAUGAACCGGCGAGUUAUAUUAUCAUGCGAGGUUAAGUAGAAGAUACGGAGCCGUAGCGAAAGCGAGUCUAAAUAGGGCGAAUGAGUAUGAUGAUAUAGACCCGAAACCAGGUGAGCUAGCCAUGAUCAGGAUGAAGUCGGGGUACAACCCGAUGGAGGUCCGAACCGACGUUCGUUGAAACGCCCGCGGAUGAAUUGUGGCUAGAGGAGAAAUUCCAACCGAACUUGGUUAUAGCUGGUUCUCCCCGAAAUAGCUUUAGGGCUAGCGUCAGGUGAUGCUACGUGGAGGUAGAGCACUGAAUGUAAGAUGGCCGCAUCUAGCGGUACUGAUUGCAAUCAAACUCCGAAUUCCAUGCAAGUUAACCUGGCAGUCAGUCUGUGGGAGAUAAGUUCCAUGGACAAAAGGGAAACAGCCCAGAUCGUCAAUUAAGGUCCCAAAAUUUAUGCUAAGUGUUAAAGGAUGUAGAAAUGCACAAACAACUAGGAUGUUGGCUCAGAAGCAGCCACCAUUUAAAGAGUGCGUAACAGCUCACUAGUCGAGUGUCUCUGCGCCGAAGAUUUACCGGGGCUAAGCAUAAUACCGAAAUUACGGAUUUAAUGUUUCAUUAAGUGGUAGGGGAGCGUUCCAUUUGCGGCGAAGCCAUAUCGUAAGGAGUGGUGGAGCGGAUGGAAGUGAGUAUGCCGGUGUAAGUAACGAAUGAGGGUGAGAAUCCCUCACACCGAUUGACUAAGGUUUCCAGGGCAAGGGUCGUCCUCCCUGGGUUAGUCAGGACCUAAGGCGAGGCCGAAAGGCGUAGUCGAUGGACAGCAGGUUGAUAUUCCUGCACUCGUAUAUGUGCGAUGUAAUGACAGAGAAGGUUAAGUUGGCCGGUUAAUGGAUUCCGGUCUAAGCGAGGUAGCUGAACUGCAGGCAAAUCCGUAGUUCAUAAGGCGAAGACGUGAUGGGGAGCGAAUGGAGCAAUCCUAGUAGCGAAGCAACUGAUACCAGCUCUCGAGAAAAGUUGCUAGCUUAAGCAUAUACGACCUGUACCGAGAACGGACACACGUGGUCAAGGAGAGUAUCCUAAGGUGAGCGAGAUAACUGUUGUUAAGGAACUCUGCAAAAUUACUUCGUAAGUUAGCAAGAAGAAGUGCUCUAGAAAUAGAGUCGCAGUGAAGAGGCCCAGGUAACUGUUUAACAAAAACACAGCUCUAUGCUAAGUCGCAAGACGAUGUAUAUGGGGUGACGCCUGCCCAGUGCUGGAAGGUUAAAAGGUGAGGUUAGCGCAAGCGAAGCUUUAAAUUGAAGCCCCAGUGAACGGCGGCCGUAACUAUAACGGUCCUAAGGUAGCGAAAUUCCUUGUCAGGUAAGUUCUGACGCGCACGAAUGGUGUAAUAAUCUGGGCGCUGUCUCGACAGCAGACUCGGUGAAAUCUUAAUACCUGUAAAGAUGCAGGUUACCCGCGACUAGACGGAAAGACCCCAUGGAGCUUUACUAUAGCUUAAUAUUGAGUAAUUGUAGUUCAUGUACAGGAUAGGUGGGAGACGAUGAAGUAGUGGCGUCAGCUGCUAUGGAGUCAACCUUGGGAUACCACUCUUGAAUUAUGAUUAUUCUAACUCACGCCCUACACGGGGUGGAGGACAGUGUUAGGUGGGUAGUUUGACUGGGGCGGUCGCCUCCUAAAGAGUAACGGAGGCGCCCAAAGGUACCCUCAGUAUGGUUGGAAAUCAUAUUUCGAGUGCAAAGGCAUAAGGGUGCUUGACUGCGAGACUUACAAGUCGAGCAGGGACGAAAGUCGGGCUUAGUGAUCCGGCGGUUCCGCGUGGAAGGGCCGUCGCUCAACGGAUAAAAGCUACCCUGGGGAUAACAGGCUGAUCGCGUCCAAGAGUUCACAUCGACGACGCGGUUUGGCACCUCGAUGUCGGCUCAUCACAUCCUGGAGGGGUAGUACCUUCCAAGGGUUUGGCUGUUCGCCAAUUAAAGUGGUACGCGAGCUGGGUUCAAAACGUCGUGAGACAGUUUGGUCCCUAUCUGUCGUGGGCGUAGGAAGUUUGAGAGGACCUGUCCUUAGUACGAGAGGACCGGGAUGGACAUAGCAAUGGUACACCAGUUGUCACGCCAGUGGCAUAGCUGGGUAGCUACCUAUGGAAUAGAUAAACGCUGAAAGCAUCUAAGUGCGAAGCUAACCUCAAGAUGAGACUUCCCAUUCGCAAGAAGUAAGACCCCUAGAAAGUGACUAGGUUGAUAGGUCAUAGAUGUAAGUGCAGUGAUGCAUUAAGUCGAGUGAUACUAAUAGGUCGAGGACUU
rnacentral:rRNA from 1 species